rnacentral:lncRNA from 1 species
UUUAUGGCAGAACCUGUGGCAUACGUAAGUUCCCAGGCCAGGGGUUGAAUGGAACUGCAUUGCCGGCCUACGACACGGCCACAGCAACGCCAGAUCCAAGCCUACCUGUGAUCUAUGCCGCAGUUCCUGGCAACACUGGAUCCUCAACCCACUGAGCGAGGCCAGGGAUCAACUCCACACCCUCAGAGACACUAUGUAGUGUUCUUAACCCACUGAGCCAAGACAGGAACUACUAUAGUUGUUUUUUUUUUAACUGAAGUAUACUUGGUUUACUAUAUUGCAUUAGUUUCCGGUGUACAGCAAAGGGACUCAGGAUUUCUGUGGAUUACAGGUUGCAUUAUAUGUUAUUAUAAGAUGACAGGUGUAACUCCCUGUGCUCUCCAGUACUUCCCUGCUCCUUAUCUAUUGAUACAGAGUAGUCUGUAUCUGCUCAUCUCUUUGUCCCUCCCCCUUCCCUCUCCCCUUUGGUAACCACUAGUGCCUCUCUAUUUUCCAUAUCUGCCAGUCUGUUUCUGUUUUGCACAUAUAUUCACUUGUAUUAUUUUUUCCAUUCCACGUAUAAGUGAUGUCAUGUAGUAUUUGUCUUUCUCUAAUUUAUUUCACCAAGCAUGGUAUUCUCUAGGCCCAUCCAUGUUGCUGCAAAUGGCAUUAUUUCCUUCUUUUUUAUGGUUGAGUAAUAGUUUAUUGUGUAUGUAUUCAACAGCUUCUUAAUACAAUCACCUGUUGAUGGGACUUGGGUUGUUCUUGGUUUUGUAAACAGUGCUGCUAUGAACACUGGGGCGCAUGUAUCUUUUCAAAUUAGUGUUUUCAUUUGAAAAUCAGUUUUUCAAUAAUAUACUGAAAUGACAAGUAAACCAUUAAAAAGGCAUUAACCCAGUGGUAUGCCAGGGCCAGCUGACACAGGCUUGUGAGAACUGACUGUUCAAUUUUCAGGAAUUUUUUUUGAACCAGUUGUUACAUAUGACAAUUUUUUUUUUUUUUUGUCUUUUUGCCUUUUCUAGGGCCGCUUCCCGUGGCAUAUGGAGGUUCCCAGGCUAGGGGUCGAAUCAGAGCUGUAGCCACCGACCUACACCAUAGUCACAGAUAUGGCUCGGAUCCUGUGUUGCUGUGGCUCUGGCGUAGGCCGGCAGCUGCAGCUCUGAUUGGACCCCUGGCCUGGCACCCUCCAUAUGCCACAGGCGCAGCCAUAAAAAGAAAAAAAAUAAUUACACAAGAAAGGAGAUAAGAGUGCCAGGAAACAGGGAUUCCAAAGAAGGAGAGAAGGAAAGAGGGUACCCAGGGUGAUGCUGAAGGGAAGCUCCAAGCAGGACCAUCCAGAAAGAUGUCCCCAGAGGGAGACGCAACUGAGAUCCCAACAUGUUCUCCUGUUGAGGAGAGUCUGAGGCGAGUCACUCAUAAACACCCAAAGAACCACACAAUUAAAACAGGAUCAAGUCCAGGGUUGGGGGGGCAGGGGGAGGAGGAGACAUUCAAGGGCAAAAACGUAAUUACAGUGCACCAUGCGCACGGCCAAAUGAUGCAAAUACAGAUCCGUGAUUUCAUCCCAACUGGGAUGGCCCAUCAUUUAUAAUUUUCCAACAUGCACGCUCCUCUCACAUUUUAACAUCCUGAAAGUCGGGCUGCCUCUUGCCGUCAGUGUGAUAAGGAAGUACCGUUUCGUAGUUUACCUGGAAGCAUGUCGUUUCUUUUGUAGUGACACGUAAAUGAUGGUGUAUCUUCCGACAGGCGGCAUCGAAGCUGGAAGGGAAUCUGUGGGGAAGGGAGGGAAAGGUGUGGACGGCCGCGUGCAGGACGGGGACGAACGCUAAGCCCUCGUCCCAGUGAGAAGUCAGCGGAAGAUUUCUCACAUUAUCAAAGUAGAAAAGCAGCUUUGUAAACAGGUUUUUCAGUAUGACGGCUGCAAAUUCCAGGAGUACAACCAAAACCACAGCCAGCGGUUGACUCUGGGAGCGGAACCUGGAGGUCAGGAGGCACUGGGCUGUGACGUUUAUAAGCCUCAUAAACAUGUGAAUUUUUAAACAAUAUAUAGGUAUUAGAAGUAAAAGUAAUAUGCAUGGAAAUGAGAAUAAUAAAAUGCAGCGCCCGUCCAGUCUCACCAGAAAAGACUGUGAAAAUGAAAAGGGGACUUUAUGGCCUCCUCCUUCAGGACAAGGCGUCUAGCCGCCCUGCUCGCUGUCCCAGGCCGGUCUUGGGAAGUGAGGCUCCCCGGCCUCUGGCACAUGGCCUCACCGCCACCGCUGGCCUCCCAUCCCUUGAAACUCCGCUGCCUGAUUUUUCACUCUCAGGGGACCAGACAGCUGGUCUUAGGGCAGGUGGAAACUGCAUAGGGCACGUUUUUCAAAUACUGGAGCUCCCUAGAGCCCUUGAGAAUGAGAAAGGAAGCUGGUGGCUUGGCAGGUGCGGAGGCCCUUCUCGCAGACAUCUGUCGGUGGUGCUGGGAGCCCAGGCCCCUCCUCUUUACGGAGGAAGAGCCCUGGCUUCCUGAUGGGAUGAGGCACCGGCCUGUGCCAGCUGCAUGGCAUCCUGGGUGAGAAAACAAGAGGAAGACUGCUCCUGGCAGAGCACGAGCUACCUGCUCCUCACAUGUCAGACCUCCGCCCGAGCCCCUGCAGGCCAGGAGGCACCCACUGCUCCCGGGGGACAUCCGGGCACUGCCCGCUCUGCCCCGGGCGGGGGGAGAACAAACACCUGCAGUUCUGCCCGUGAACUGGGUGAGGCUCUGCUGCCGAGCGAUUGGGAAUCAGCAUCCAGGGAGUUUGAGGCGACGAGGACGGCAGCUCUCGCCCGCAUGCCACUUGCUGUGAAACGCCGCAGCCGCACCCCGCGUUCGUGUGGAAACACUUCACACCGGUUGGUAAACAGCCACAGCCCGGCCCCUCCCCUCGGUCCCCCACACCUCCCACCACCCUGCAACCAAAGGGGAACAUACGGCCCAGCAGGGGGCCUCCAGGAGCUGGCACACGGAGGCCCCACCGCGGGUGACAGCCCUGAUUGGUCAGGCUUGCUUGUUAAAUAUGUCAAGUAUCACUGCCAGCGCCUAGAUCAGUGAGAGACCGGAAAGCCCACUUCCCGCAGAAAGCCCUCCACCUUCCUCUCCCGCCUCCCUUCUCCCGGCCCAGCGUUUACAACACCAGAGUCUUCUGGAGUAAAAAGGUCUUUUUCUAUGGACAAGAAGAGAAGCCCCUUUUUUUCAUUCCCUGGGGGCCCCUGAUGCUCCAGACUGCAAGGAAAUUUUCCUAUGUGCCUCUUCCUCCUGCUUCCCUAACUUGUUUAUCCUGAUGAAAUUAGGUUACAAUGGCCAGGGCGAGCGGCCUAAAAGGGGAAAAUAAAGUUAGCGGAGUCCAACGCGCGGCCUCGGCGCGGGCUGGCUGGGAGGCCUGGGGGGGACAUGUGCUUUCCCGGCUGCCAGGGACCCUCUUCCCUCCCCCUCAGGUGCCACUUCCCGUUCCCAGCCCCCGCAGGAGAGGGAUCCCCUGGGCCCUGUGCAGGGGCCCUGGCACAGCCUGAGGAUUUCCGCAGGGAUACCUGGUCCUCCGAUGCAGCCAAGGAGGGGUGGGGAGGGGCGCUCUCUCCCCGCAGUGGAAGUUUUGCUGCUCUCUUACCCUUGGGUGGAGGCCGGCUCAGGCCUUCCCAGCUCUGCCAGGUCACUGAGGACCCUACCCAGGGGCACCCCACACAUGACCUCGGCCCUCACAGAUGCGCACUGUGACCUGGAGACCAGUCCAGUGUGUUUCUUGGGUCUCCACUGAAAACCUAUUCAAGGAGUUCUCCUGUGGCACAGUGGGUUAGGGAUCCAGCAUUGCCACUGCAGUGGCUUGGGAUGCUGCUGUGGCCCGGGUUUGAUCCCUGGCCUGAGGAACUUCUGCAUGCCGUGGAUGCAGCCAAAACAAAGGAAAAAAAACUUUCUCAGUCUGUCAAAAUUAUGACUUGGGACAAUUUAGCGAAUGGUCUCUUCGGUCUGGGUUUUGUUUUGCUUGUUUUUUGGUUUGUUUUUACGUGACAUCAAAGGCAGACUGCAGAGCGGAAGGGGUCCACCAGGAAGGACCUAGAGGGACCAAUGCAAAUUCUGCUCUUCUGACCGAGACUUCCUCUUCCAGAAAUGCCUACCCCCAAAGGCCGUAAGGAGGGUAAAGGUGCAGCCAAAUCAAUGAAUAACGUACACAAUUUUUUUAAAAAGUUAAUUUUUGUUGCUUCUGUUGAUUUGUAGAAGUUCUUUAUAUAUUCUGUAUAUUAAUCUGUUAUCAGACACAUGAUUUGCAAAUAUUUUUCUCCCAUUCUGUAGGCUGCCUUAUCACUGUUGAUUACUUUCUUUGAUGCACAGAAGCUUUUAAGUCUAAUGUAGUCCCAUUUGUUUACUUUGCUUUUGUUGCCUGAAGGCACAUUUUUAAAGUUUUUAACGUGAUACAUUUAAAAAAAAUGCAAAAGAAAAAAUACAUAUACAAACACAUGUAUAUGCCUACUAUACAUAUAGUCAUACACGUACAUACAUAAAAUUCUCCCUUGCACCCCUGACACCCAGUCUCAGUUUCCUCUCCCAGAGGCCACCACAAGUGCCGAUAUCCUUCUGUUGAUGUGUGUCCUUCUUUUCGAUUAUAUGAAUGUCCUAAGUGUUACUGAGCCAACCCCUUUCUCUCCGUCAUUACCAUAACCAGGGCUGGAAAAGCCAGUGUACGGACUGUCCCCUGUCAGUGUGAGAGGAUGGUUUAAUUGUUCGACAGCUGCCUGACAGUCCACAGAACAGACAUUCCAUAACUUGUUUAAUCAGUCCCCUGGUUAAAAAGUUAAAUUGUUUACAGCCCUCUGCCGCAAUGAAAAUGUUUGCACACAUGUCUUUGAGCCCCUGAGGGCUGUAUCUGUAGGAUAAAUUAUUAAAAGUGGAAUUGCUGGUCAAAGGCUUUGUGAAUUUUAAACUUUGAUAGAUAUAUCCACAUAGUGGAUAGAUUUUACCCCAAAGAAAGAAUUUUAGCAACCAAAACUGCCCAAAGUUACUUUAGGAGAUUGUGGGUGGGUUGUUUUUUUUUUUUUCCCUUUUAUUUUUUUAAAUUGUUUUAAGUCACUCAAUGAAUUUUAUUAGAUUUAUAUCUGUACAACGAUCAUCACAACACGAUUGUACAGCAUUUCUAUCCCAAACCCCCAGCGCACCCCUCCACCCCCCAACCUGUCUCAUUUGGAGACCAUAAGUUUUUCAAAGUCUGUGAGUCAGUAUCUGCUCUGCAAAGAAGGUCAUUCUGUCCUUUUUUUUAAUUUCACAAGUGAUAGCAUAUGAUGUUGGUAUCUCACUGUCUUGACUGACUUCACUUAGCAUGACAAUCUCCAGGUCCAGCCAUGUUGCUGCAAAUGCCGUUAUUUCCUUUUAAUGGCUGAGUAAUAUUCCAUUGUGCAUAUGUACCACAUCUUCUUGAUCCACUCCUCUGUUGAUGGACAUUUAGGUUGUUUCCAUGUCUUGGCUACUGUAUAUAGUACUGCAGUGAACUCUGGAGCACAUCUAUAUUUUCAAGUCAUGGUUUUCUCUGGAGAGAUGCCCAGGAGAUUGUGAGUGUUUUAAGGAAAUCAAUCCCCAGCCUAGGAAUUU